AUUGAACGCUGGCGGCAGGCCUAACACAUGCAAGUCGAGCGGAUGAAGGGAGCUUGCUCCUGGAUUCAGCGGCGGACGGGUGAGUAAUGCCUAGGAAUCUGCCUGGUAGUUGGGGAUAACGUCCGGAAACGGGCGCUAAUACCGCAUACGUCCUGAGGGAGAAAGUGGGGGAUCUUCGGACCUCACGCUAUCAGAUGAGCCUAGGUCGGAUUAGCUAGUUGGUGGGGUAAAGGCCUACCAAGGCGACGAUCCGUAACUGGUCUGAGAGGAUGAUCAGUCACACUGGAACUGAGACACGGUCCAGACUCCUACGGGAGGCAGCAGUGGGGAAUAUUGGACAAUGGGCGAAAGCCUGAUCCAGCCAUGCCGCGUGUGUGAAGAAGGUCUUCGGAUUGUAAAGCACUUUAAGUUGGGAGGAAGGGCAGUAAGUUAAUACCUUGCUGUUUUGACGUUACCAACAGAAUAAGCAACGGCUAACUUCGUG
rnacentral:rRNA from 1 species